AGCCACGCGUUGUGUACAGAGCAAACUAUUCUUUCGCUUUUUACUAAAGAAUACCGUGUACACGAUGUAUUAAGUGGCAUAUGCCAAUUUUUUAAGAGCCUUCCCUAAAAGGAGU